rnacentral:rRNA from 1 species
AGUGAACGCUGGCGGUAGGCCUAACACAUGCAAGUCGAACGGCAGCACAGUAAGAGCUUGCUCUUACGGGUGGCGAGUGGCGGACGGGUGAGGAAUACAUCGGAAUCUACUUUUUCGUGGGGGAUAACGUAGGGAAACUUACGCUAAUACCGCAUACGACCUACGGGUGAAAGCAAGGGAUCUUCGGACCUUGCGCGAUUGAAUGAGCCGAUGUCGGAUUAGCUAGUUGGCGGGGUAAAGGCCCACCAAGGCGACGAUCCGUAGCUGGUCUGAGAGGAUGAUCAGCCACACUGGAACUGAGACACGGUCCAGACUCCUACGGGAGGCAGCAGUGGGGAAUAUUGGACAAUGGGCGCAAGCCUGAUCCAGCCAUACCGCGUGAGUGAAGAAGGCCUUCGGGUUGUAAAGCCCUUUUGUUGGGAAAGAAAAGCAGCAGGUUAAUACCCCGCUGUUCUGACGGUACCCAAAGAAUAAGCACCGGCUAACUUCGUG